rnacentral:rRNA from 1 species
CCCUUAGAUGUCCUGGGCCGCACGCGCGCUACAAUGACACAUGCAACAAGUUCUAUCCUGGCUCGGAAGAGUUUCGGGUAAUCUUUAUAAUGUGUGUCGUGCUGGGGAUCGAUCUUUGUAAUUAUGGAUCUUGAACGAGGAAUUCCUAGUAAGCAUAAGUCAUCAGCUUGUGCUGAUUACGUCCCUGCCCUUUGUACACACCGCCCGUCGCUCCUACCGAUUGAUUGAUCCGGUGAAUUACAUAGAAUUUUGCGUUUCACAUGACGGAAGAUGAAGUGUUUUAAACCUUAUCAUUUAGAGGAAGGAGAAGUCGUAACA